rnacentral:rRNA from 1 species
CCCCUAGUAACUGCGAGUGAAGCGGGAAAAGCUCAAAUUUGUAAUCUGGUGGCUCUUGGCCAUCCGAGUUGUAAUCUAGAGAAGUGUUACCCGUGCUGGACUGUGUACAAGUCUCCUGGAAUGGGGCAUCAUAGAGGGUGAGAAUCCCGUCUUUGACACGGACUACCAGUGCACUGUGGGUGUGCUCUCGAAGAGUCGAGUUGUUUGGGAAUGCAGCUCAAAAUGGGUGGUAAAUGCCAUCUAAAGCUAAAUAUUGGCGAGAGACCGAUAGCGAACAAGUACCGUGAGGGAAAGAUGAAAAGUACUUUGGAAAGAGAGUUAAACAGUACGUGAAAUUGCUGAAAGGGAAACGCUUGAAGUCAGUCGCGUCGGCAGGGAAUCAGCCUCGCUUUUGCUUGGUGUACUUUCCUGUCUUGACGGGUCAGCAUCAAUCUCGACCACUGGAUAAAGUCCAUGGGAAUGUAGCAUCUUUUGGAUGUGUUAUAGCCUGUUGUCGCAUACGGUGGUUGGGAUUGAGGAACUCAGCACGCCCGNGAGGGACGGGUUUCGACCACGUU